rnacentral:rRNA from 1 species
AGACUCCUACGGGAGGCAGCAGUAGGGAAUAUUGGGCAAUGGACGCAAGUCUGACCCAGCCAUGCCGCGUGAAGGACGAAGGCCCUAUGGGUUGUAAACUUCUUUUGUACGGGAAGAAACCCCUCUACGUGUAGGGGGCUGACGGUACCGUAAGAAUAAGGAUCGGCUAACUCCGUGCCAGCAGCCGCGGUAAUACGGGAGUGGCAAGCGUUAUCCGGAAUUAUUGGGCGUAAAGCGUCCGCAGGCGGUCUUACAAGUCUGUCGUUAAAGCGUGGAGCUUAACUCCAUUUCAGCGAUGGAAACUGUAAGACUAGAGUGUGGUAGGGGCAGAGGGAAUUCCCGGUGUAGCGGUGAAAUGCGUAGAUAUCGGGAAGAACACCAGUGGCGAAGGCGCUCUGCUGGGCCAUAACUGACGCUCAUGGACGAAAGCCAGGGGAGCGAAAGGGAUUAGAUACCCCUGUAGUCCUGGCCGUAAACGAUGAACACUAGGUGUCGGGGGAAUCGACCCCCUCGGUGUCGUAGCCAACGCGUUAAGUGUUCCGCCUGGGGAGUACGCACGCAAGUGUGAAACUCAAAGGAAUUGACGGGGGCCCGCACAAGCGGUGGAGUAUGUGGUUUAAUUCGAUGCAACGCGAAGAACCUUACCAGGGUUUGACAUCCUGCGAAUCCCUUGGAAACGAGGGAGUGCCUUCGGGAACGCAGUGACAGGUGGUGCAUGGCUGUCGUCAGCUCGUGUCGUGAGAUGUUGGGUUAAGUCCCGCAACGAGCGCAACCCACGUCUUUAGUUGCCAGCAUUUAGUUGGGCACUCUAGAGAGACUGCCGGUGAUAAACCGGAGGAAGGUGUGGAUGACGUCAAGUCAUCAUGCCCCUUACAUCCUGGGCUACACACGUACUACAAUGCUACGGACAAAGGGCAGCAAACUCGCGAGAGCUAGCAAAUCCCAUAAACCGUGGCUCAGUUCAGAUCGUAGGCUGCAACUCGCCUACGUGAAGGAGGAAUCGCUAGUAAUCGCAGGUCAGCAUACUGCGGUGAAUACGUUCCCGGGCCUUGUACACACCGCCCGUCACACCAUGGAAGUUGGCCACGCCCGAAGUCGUUACUCCAACCCUUGUGGAGGAGGAUGCCGAAGGUGGGGCUGAUGACUGGGGUGAAGUCGUAACAAGGUAGCCGUACCGGAAGGUGCGGCUG